rnacentral:rRNA from 1 species
UACGGAGGGUGCAAACGUUGCUCGGAAUCACUGGGCGUAAAGCGCACGUAGGCGGACUCUUAAGUCGGUGGUGAAAUCCUGGAGCUCAACUCCAGAACUGCCUUCGAUACUGGGAGUCUUGAGUCCGGGAGAGGUGAGUGGAACUGCGAGUGUAGAGGUGAAAUUCGUAGAUAUUCGCAAGAACACCAGUGGCGAAGGCGGCUCACUGGCCCGGUACUGACGCUGAGGUGCGAAAGCGUGGGGAGCAAACAGG